UAGGGAAUAUUGCACAAUGGGCGAAAGCCUGAUGCAGCAACGCCGCGUGAGCGAUGAAGGCCUUCGGGUCGUAAAGCUCUUUUUGGGGAGAUGAGGAAGGACAGUAUCCUCAGAAUAAGGAUCGGCUAACUACGUGCCAGCAGCCGCGGUAACACGUAGGAUCCGAGCGUUAUCCGAAUUUACUGGGCGUAAAGCGCGUGCAGGCGGUUUGAUAAGUUGGAUGUGAAAGCUCCCGGCUCAACUGGGAGAGGCCGUUCAAAACUAUCAGACUUGAGGGCGGUAGAGGGAGUGGAAUUCCCGGUGUAGUAGUGAAAUGCGUAGAUAUCGGGAGGAACACCAGUGGCGAAAGCGGCUUCCUAGACCGCUCCUGACGCUCAGACGCGAAAGCUAGGGGAGGCGAACGGGAUUAGAAACCCCGGUAGUCCUAGCUGUAAACGAUGUGAACUUGGUGUCGGUGGGUAAAGCCAUCGGUGCCGAAGCUAACGCGAUAG
rnacentral:rRNA from 1 species